CUGCGGCCAUGUAACAUCGAAAACGCCCGUUCCGGUACGAUUAUCGAGGUUAAGCAACGUUGAGCCUGGUCAGUACCUAGAUGGGUAACCGCUUGGGAAUACCAGAUGAUGCAAG